rnacentral:rRNA from 1 species
UACGUAGGGUGCGAGCGUUAAUCGGAAUUACUGGCGUAAAGCGUGCGCAGGCGGUUUUGUAAGUCUGUCGUGAAAUCCCCGGGCUCAACCUGGGAAUUCGCGAUGGAGACUGCAAGGCUAGAAUCUGGCAGAGGGGGGUGAGAAUUCCGACGUGUGAGCAGUGAAAUGCGUAGAGAUGCGGAGGAACACCGAUGGCGAAGG